rnacentral:rRNA from 1 species
AGAGUUUGAUCCUGGCUCAGAACGAACGCUGGCGGCGUGCCUAACACGUGCAAGUCGAACGAGAAAGCGGGCUUCGGCCCGUUAGUACAGUGGCAGACGGGUGAGUAACACGUGGGUAACCUGCCCGGAGGUGGGGGAUAACCCUUCGAAAGGAGGGCUAAUACCGCAUAACAUCUCGAGGUUCUCCGUGCUCGAGAUCAAAGCUGCCUCUACUCGUAAGCAAGCGCCACCGGAGGGGCCCGCGCCCCAUUAGCUUGUUGGUGAGGUAACGGCUCACCAAGGCGACGAUGGGUAGCCGGCCUGAGAGGGUGUCCGGCCACACUGGAACUGAGACACUGUCCAGACUCCUACGGGAGGCAGCAGUGAGGAAUUUUGCGCAAUGGGGGAAACCCUGAACCAGCAACGCCGCGUGUGGGAUGAAGGCCCUCGGGUCGUAAACCACUGUCAGGAGGGAAGAAACGUUCGUGGCCAAUAUCCAUGUGAUUUGACGGUACCUUCAAAGGAAGCACCGGCUAACUCCGUGCCAGCAGCCGCGGUAAUACGGAGGGAGCGAGCGUUGUUCGGAAUCACUGGGCAUAAAGGGCGUGUAGGCGGCUUGGCAAGUCGGUUGUGAAAGCCCGGGGCUCAACCCCGGAAUUGCAUCCGAAACUGCCUAGCUAGAGUCCCGGAGAGGAAGGCAGAAUUCCCAGUGUAGGGGUGAAAUCCGUAGAUAUUGGGAAGAUACCAGAGGCGAAGGCGGCCACCUGGACGGUGACUGACGCUGAGACUCGAAAGCGUGGGGAGCGAACAGGAUUAGAUACCCUGGUAGUCCACGCCGUAAACGAUGAUCACUCGAUGUGUGCGAUAUACAGUACGCGUCCAAGCGAAAGCGAUAAGUGCGCCGCCUGGGGAGUACGGCCGCAAGGCUAAAACUCAAAGGAAUUGACGGGGGCUCACACAAGCGGUGGAGCAUGUGGAUUAAUUCGAAGCAACGCGAAGAACCCUACCUGGGUUGACAUGCUAGGAUGCAGCCAUGAAAGUGGUCUAUGCUGCUCUUGUAGUGAAACUAGCACAGGUGCUGCAUGGCUGUCGUCAGCUCGUGCUGUGAAGUGUCGGGUUAAGUCCCUUAACGAGCGAAACCCUUAUCGCUAGUUGCCAGCGGGUCAUGCCGGGGACUCUAGCGAGACUGCCGGUGUCAAACCGGAGGAAGGUGGGGAUGACGUCAAGUCCUCAUGGCCUUUACGCCCAGGGUGUCACACGGCUACAAUGGGGUGAACAGAGCGAAGCGAGCCGGCGACGGGGAGCAAAUCGCAGAAAUCACCUCUCAGUUCGGAUUGGAGUCUGCAAUUCGACUCCAUGAAGUUGGAAUCGCUAGUAAUCGCGUAUCAGCCACGACGCGGUGAAUAUGUUCCUGAGCCUUGUACACACCGCCCGUCAAGUCAUGGAAGCUGGGAGCACCCGAAGUCCGCUUAGUCAACCCUCGGGGGACGGCGGCCGACGGUAAGACCGGUGACUGGGUGAAGUCGUAACAAGGUAACC